GGUGUCACGCUUAGUCCCUGCUGGCCACCCCCCUGCGACCAUGUUCGUUCCCUGCGGGGAAUCGGCCCCCGACCUUGCCGGCUUCACCCUCCUAAUGCCAGCAGUAUCUGUUGGAAAUGUUGGCCAGCUUGCAAUGGAUCUGAUUAUUUCUACACUGAGUAUGUCUAAGAUUGGUUACUUCUAUACCGAUUGUCUUGUGCCUAUGGUUGGAAACAAUCCAUAUGCGACUGCGGAAGGAAAUUCAACAGAACUUAGUAUAAAUGCUGAAGUAUAUUCAUUGCCUUCAAGAAAGCUGGUGGCUCUUCAGUUAAGAUCCAUUUUUAUUAAGUAUAAAUCAAAGCCGUUCUGUGAAAAACUGCUUUCCUGGGUGAAAAGCAGCGGCUAUGCCAGAGUCAUUGUUCUUUCGAGCAGCCAUUCAUAUCAGCGCAAUGACCUGCAGCUUCACAGUACUCCCUUCCGGUACCUACUCACACCUUCCAUGCAAAGAAGUGUUCAAAAUAAAAUAAAGAGCCUUAACUGGCAAGAAAUGGAAAAAAGCCGGUGCAUUUCAGAAAUAGAUGAUUCCGAGUUUUGUAUCCGCAUUCCGGGGGGAGGAAUCACAAAAACGCUCUAUGAUGAAAGCUGUUCUAAAGAAAUCCAAAUGGUAGUUCUGCUGAAAUUUAUUUCAGAAGGGGACAACAUGCCAGAUGCAUUAGGUCUCGUUGAGUACCUUAAUGAGUGGCUUCAGAUAAUCAAACCACUUAGCGAUGACCCCACAGCAUCUACCUCACGGUGGAAAAUACCAAGUUCUUGGAGAUUACUCUUUGGCAGUGGUCUUCCCCCAGCACUUUUUUGAUCUGUUUUCCGUUUUAUACCUUAUACCCAGAACACUUACUACCAACACAACUGUUAAACAUUCUAGACAAAAAAAUCGUAUGAUCCGAGAACGUAUUAGGAAAUUACCUUCACCGUAAAUGUCAAAGGAAAAGAUUAAGGAUCUCUUUGCCAUGCUUUUCAUCAUAUGCAACAAAUGUGAAUUUUGUACAAUAAAAUUUUAUUUCCUAAGUAAAAAAAAAAAAAAAAAAAAGA